rnacentral:rRNA from 1 species
AGCGAACGCUGGCGGCAGGCCUAACACAUGCAAGCCGAACGAAGUCUUCGGACUUAGUGGCGGACGGGUGAGUAACACGUGGGAACGUGCCUUUAGGUUCGGAAUAACUCAGGGAAACUUGUGCUAAUACCGAAUGUGCCCUUCGGGGGAAAGAUUUAUCGCCUUUAGAGCGGCCCGCGUCUGAUUAGCUAGUUGGUGAGGUAAAGGCUCACCAAGGCUACGAUCAGUAGCUGGUCUGAGAGGAUGACCAGCCACAUUGGGACUGAGACACGGCCCAAACUCCUACGGGAGGCAGCAGUGGGGAAUCUUGCGCAAUGGGCGAAAGCCUGACGCAGCCAUGCCGCGUGGAUGAUGAAGGUCUUAGGAUUGUAAAAUCCUUUCACCGGCGAAGAUAAUGACUGUAGCCGGAGAGGAAGCCCCGGCUAACUUCGUGCCAGCCGCCGCGGUAAAAC